rnacentral:tRNA from 1 species
GCGGAAGUAGUUCAGUGGUAGAACAUCACCUUGCCAAGGUGGGGGGCGCGGGUUCGAAUCCCGUCUUCCGCUCCA